rnacentral:rRNA from 1 species
UACGAAGGGGGCUAGCGUUGCUCGGAAUCACUGGGCGUAAAGCGCACGUAGGCGGCUUGUUAAGUCAGGGGUGAAAUCCUGGAGCUCAACUCCAGAACUGCCUUUGAUACUGGCGAGCUUGAGUUCGGGAGAGGUGAGUGGAACUGCGAGUGUAGCGGUGAAAUGCGUAGAUAUUGGGAGGAACACCGGUGGCGAAGGCGGCUCACUGGACCGGUACUGACGCUGAGACGCGAAAGCCAGGGGAGCAAACGGG